rnacentral:rRNA from 1 species
CAUUGAUCAGUCCUAUCAACCCGUCGUGAACUUUAAGCAAGCGUUGGUCUUGCUGUUGGGGGUGGAUUCCUUUGAAGUGUAGUAGCCGUAAGUGGCCCUUUGGGUCCUGGUGAACAGCUUGUGAGGGCCAUCCCUGCAAGUCGAUUGGCGGCUUGUUGUCUAACCCACAACAUUUCCCAAUCGAUGCGCGUCCAGUUUUUCCAACCAAACACCCAACCAAUCUCUUACUGAAGUGCUGCAGUUGGCUUUGCCGAUUGCUUAACUCAAACAACUCUCAACAACGGAUAUCUUGGCUCUCGCAACGAUGAAGAACGCAGCGAAAUGCGAUACGUAGUGUGAAUUGCAGAAUUCCGUGAAUCAUCGAAUCUUUGAACGCAUAUUGCGCUCGAGGCUCCGGCCAAGAGCAUGUCUGCCUCAGCGUCGGCAUCACCCCUCACCCACAAUCCUCUGGUUUGUGUGGUGGAACUGGCAGUCUUGGUGGCUUGUCUACCAGGUCUGCUGAAAUGCAGAGGCUCGAACAUGGACCCACAUGGGCAACAACUUGGUAGGCAUGUCGCUUUCGAGCGGUGCAACACCUGAGUUGGUGCUUGGGACUGUGUUGUAGGCCAAACGCAGGAACUACUCCUUAUUCGACCUGAGCUCAGGCAAGGUUACCCGCUGAACUUAAGCAUAUC